GUAAACGACGACGUUUGGGUGUUGUAACUGGAAAGGGCUGCGAUUGUGGCAGAACCGGUUCAGAGUUGAGACGAAUCAGAACGACAGCUCUGUUGUACCUUACCGUGGAAAGUAAGAGCUCCGUCGGUUCUGGGUUUGAAAAUCCUGGUUAAUUUUGAGGUUCUUGACAGGAUUUAAUCGAUUCAGAUGAUUAACGAUGCGCUGUUUUGCCUGGACCAUUGUGAUUUAUAUAGCCUUGAAGUUUGAUGACACCAAUUUGGUUGGUUAUAGUUGGAGUGUAAUAGAGUGCAUCCUUGGAUUAUUGAUGCUUUCGGGUCAUCAAUCAGCUGGAAGACA